rnacentral:antisense_RNA from 1 species
CACUCCUCCCAAGUGUUCAAUGUUAACCAGAUGGCAAAGUUAACUAGACAGAGGAAAUCCACGUAAUUACUCUAGAUGAAGCCCCCUAACUGCGGAUUAGAAGGAAAAGAGAUGAAGGGUGCUGCACUAAUAAUAACAACCAUUUUCAACCAAGGCAGGAUUCUGGGCCUAGAAUCUUCAGUGACAAAUUACCAGGAGAGGAGGAGGGAAAUGAAGAGCUGGAGGCCUAGGGAGAUGGUGUGAGGAGAGGAGACUGUGCCUUUCCACUUCUUAAUAAUUAAUGUUCUCCUGCUGCUCUGAGUCUGCAUGUAAGUGGAUUUGUGACCUCUCAGCUGAUGAAAACCAUAGCACAAGAAGAGUAAAAGUGUGCUGCCUUGUUUCUUACUUGCUAAUUAGCCACCUGAGCCCAGGGGGGUUUAUAAGUGGCCUCAAGCCCAAUUACUUAUUUUGUUCCCAGAGGCAGAGAAGGCUUGAGUCAAAUCACCCUGAUUCUCAGGGGAAAGGCAGCACCGAGCAUCCAGGGUACCCUCUAAUGGCCCAGGCCUACUCUUGUCCAGCAAUGUACCACCAAGAUGUUGAACUUUAAAGGACUAUGUCUGACCAGGAAGGACCUGCUGUCUAGAGCUGCCAUUCUGAUUCUUGGAGCUCGUAUACAGAUACAUCCGCAGCCAUGGGGCAGGAAACAGAUGUACCAAUGCAGUCAAGACCAAUACCUGCUCAUACCUGUGGCCAAAAGCAUGAUGCCCCAGGCUCUGCCUCCAAUUCUACCAUCUUCUUCCAUCUUUCUCUUUUUCAGCACCAGUGAUUCAGUUUGAGUCAGACAUCCAACAACAACUGAGCAAAAGAAUCAUCUCAGAUCCAAGCAAUGGUGACGCGCAGAUAGAAGAGACUGAGG